UUGUGUUAUUCUAUAGUCUUUGGUUUAGUUUACCUAAAAAUGAAAAAUCUGUCAUCAUUUACUGUUUUUUUCUUCUGUGGAACAUAAAAUAAGAGAUAUUUUAAAGAAUGUGUUUUAAAAAGAAACUGUUUUGGUUCCUAUUAUUGUAUGGCCAAAAAAAUAAAAUGGAACCGAAACAUUGAUUACCAACAUACAGUUUUGGAAAAACAUGCCUGGCUCACACUACAGGAGUUUUAGGCCGAUUUAUGCCCGAUUUUCCCCUCCCGAGAAUCGGAGAAAAAAUCUUGUCCACCUCGAUCGGUUCCGAUGUUCGGCGCAGAUUAUCUGGUAAUGUGAGACGUUCACAGAUAAAAUCUUGCACCUCCCGAUCUGAUCUCACACAAAUCGGGCUCACCCCGAUCAUAUCAAACAUGUUUGAUAUUUAUUGGGUUGAGCAAGAUUGUAAUAACAUCAGUACUGUCACAAUAGCCAAUAGGAAACAAGUAUACGACGCGACGGAAGUGACAGACAUUUCGAAAUGGCGACCGCGAAACCAAGAUCAAGGAAUCUACAAUGUAAAAGUUGACGCUAUCGCUUUUGAACUAGGCAGGCAAUAUUAUAACGGUUGGGCCCCAGAUCUGCUCUGAGACAGGAACGGCACUGGGGAAGAGGUUGCUAAAUGCUGGAGAGACCUCGGCCAAUUCCGACUCUGUCAGCCCUCCAACACGACACCUCAUCUAGAGAACGCUCCAACUCCGCUGGCUGGGUGCUGUACAGCAGUCAAAUCCAGAGUCGUCUGAGGCUGACAUCAUCAAAUACAUAUCUCCGAUCAGCACGCGACAGAUAUGGGGGUAUGGGAUGCCAGAAGGGCCAGACAGCCAUUGAUCUUUAUUCUCAAUCAGAAUAGGUGCAUUUUUGUUUUUCUUUACAUUUGUAUUAUUGAUUUGAAGUUUGCUGAA